GACGAACCGUCCAAACGUUAUUCGGAAUCACUGGGCUUAAAGGGUGCGUAGGCGGCGCGGAAAGUUGGGUGUGAAAUCCCUCGGCUCAACCGAGGAAUUGCGCCCAAAACUUCCGUGCUCGAGGAAGAUAGAGGUGAGCGGAACUUAGGGUGGAGCGGUGAAAUGCGUUGAUAUCCUAAGGAACACCGGUGGCGAAAGCGGCUCACUGGAUCUUUUCUGACGCUGAGGCACGAAAGCUAGGGUAGCGAAC
rnacentral:rRNA from 1 species